UACGUAGGGUGCAAGCGUUGUCCGGAAUUAUUGGGCGUAAAGAGCUCGUAGGCGGUUUGUCGCGUCGAAUGUGAAAACCCGGGCUCAACCCCGGGCCUGCAUUCGAUACGGGCAGACUAGAGUUCGGUAGGGGAGUCUGGAAUUCCUGGUGUAGCGGUGAAAUGCGCAGAUAUCAGGAGGAACACCGGUGGCGAAGGCGGGACUCUGGGCCGAUACUGACGCUGAGGAGCGAAAGCGUGGGGAGCAAACAGG
rnacentral:rRNA from 1 species